AAAGAGACAAUAAUGUCAUCUAUUGCUUUGUUGAUUUAAUUUAUUUAAAGGUAACUUCGAUGUUUAUUAUUGUUGUGACAUUUAACUUGAUUUGUAUUACUGUCUUUAAAACUUUUAGAGAAAUUUAAACAUUCUUCUUCUUUCUUCUAAUCCAUUUUUAUUCAUAUCUAGGUAUUAUUUUUCUGUGGGGUGAUCUUUUAGUAUAUUACUAUCAUUAUGUUUUAACCCUACAAUUUACUAACAGAAGAUGAUGAACUGUAUGUGGCCUCAUUGCUUCUAUUAACAUGAUUAAAUUAAUAUUUCUGCCUGCCUUACAUUUUCUACUACACUAAGAGAAAUAGAAACACACAUAAACAGAUAAUAUGUAUUUUAUAGACAGUUGUCAAAAAUAUUGGAAACAAUUAGAAAUAAAACAAUGAUCAAGAACAAACCUAUGAUCCAAAACUCAAAAAAGCGUUGGAACAAAUGUAGAGAAAUUGGAAGACCCCUUACAUGUUGUUUUGCAGCAUGUGAAAUGGUGUGACUACUCUGAAAAACAGUUUGGCAAUUCCUUAAAAUGUUAAACACAGAGUUACCAUAUGACCUAGCUAUUUUACUCUUAAAGGAAUACCUAAGAUUGAGUAAUUGAUAAAGAAAAGAGAUUUAUUUUGGCUCAUUGUUCUGCAGACUGUAUAAGCAUGAGAGCAGCUUUGGCUUGGCUUCAGUUGAGGGCCGCAGGAAGCUUAUAAUCAUGGCAGAAAGGGAAAGAGGAGCAGGCACAUCACAUGCCAAUAGACUGAGCAAGAAGUGGACAGGAGGAGGUGCCAGGCUCCUUUAAACAAUCAACUUUCAAGUAGACUAACAGAGCAAGAGCUCACUCAUCACCAAGGAGAUGGUGCUAAGCCACUCGUGAAGGAUCCGCCCCCAUGAUCUGACACCUGUCACCAGGCCCCAACUCCAACAUUGAGAUUUGCAGUAAACAAACAUCCAAACCAUAUCGUACAUGAAUGUUCACAGAAUUAUUCACAAUACCAAAACUGGAAGAAACCCAAAUGUCCAUCAAUUGUUGAAUAAUUAAACAAAAUGCAGUGUCUCUAUGCCAUGUAAGAUUGUCAAUUAUAAGAAAGAAGUGCUAAUACAUGCUACAACAUGAAUAAACCUAAAAAUAUUAU
rnacentral:lncRNA from 1 species